UCCGAUUGAUCCCGUCGGACCUUACUGCUAUCGAGAUGGGACUAAGCCAGGCCAGUCGAACGACCCGAACUAAGGCGGGAAGUGGCAUACUGCUCAGUAACACGUAGCUAACCUAACCUCAAGACGGAAACAACCCCGGGAAACUGGGGCCAAUUUCCGAUAGAUGUGAAAUCCUGGAAUGGUAUCACAUUCAAACGUCACCACACCAUGUUGUGCGAACGCUUGAGGAUGGGGCUGCGGCCGAUCAGGCUGUUGGUGGGGUAAUGGCCCACCAAACCUUUGACCGGUACGGGCCAUGAGAGUGGUAGCCCGGAGAUGGACACUGAGACAAGGGUCCAGGCCCUACGGGGCGCAGCCGGUACGAAACCUCCACAAUGCACGCAAGUGCGAUGGGGUUAUCUCGAGUGCUACCUUAAUCGGUAGCUUUUCCAUUGUCUAAAUAGCCGUGGGAAUAAGGGGGGGGCAAGACUGGUGUCAGCCGCCGCGGUAACACCAGCCCCCCGAGUGGUGGGGAUGUUUAUUUGGCCUAAAACGUCCGUAGCCAGCUCGGUAAAUCUCUCGUUAAAUCCAGCGUCCUAAGCGUUGGGCUGCGAGAGAGACUGCCAAGCUAGAGGGUGGGAGAGGUCAGCGGUAUUUCUGGGGUAGGGGCGAAAUCCAUUGAUCCCAGGAGGACCACCAGUGGCGAAGGCUGCUGACUAGAACACGCCUGACGGUCAGGGACGAAAGCUGGGGUAGCGAAUCGGAUUAGAUACCCGAGUAGUCCCAGCCGUAAACGAUGCAGACUAGGUGUUGGGUUGGCCACGUGCCGACUCAGUGCCACAGGGAAGCCAUUAAGUCUGCCGCCUGGGAAGUACGGCCGCAAGGCUGAAACUUAAAGGAAUUGGCGGGGGAGCACCACCAGGCGUGAAGCCUGCGGUUUAAUUGGAGUCAACGCCGGGAACCUUACCGGGAGCGAGGCCAGAUUGAAGAUCUUGCCAGACGAGCUGAGAGGAGGUGCAUGGCCGUCGCCAGUUCGUGCCGUGAGGUGUUCUCUUAAGUGAGAUAACGAACGAGACCCGUGCCACAUGUUGCCACCAGUAUCUAAAGGAUAGCUGAGCACUCUUGUGGGACCGCAGCCGAUAAGGCUGAGGAAGGUACGGGCAACGGCAGGUCAGUAUGCCCCGAAUCUCCCGGGCCACACGCGGGCUGCAAUGG
rnacentral:rRNA from 1 species